UAAUGUAUGGGGAUCUGCCCGAUAGAGGGGGAUAACUACUGGAAACGGUGGCUAAUACCGCAUAAUGUCUACGGACCAAAGCAGGGGCUCUUCGGACCUUGCACUAUCGGAUGAACCCAUAUGGGAUUAGCUAGUAGGUGGGGUAAAGGCUCACCUAGGCGACGAUCUCUAGCUGGUCUGAGAGGAUGAUCAGCCACAUGGGACUGAGACACGGCCCAG
rnacentral:rRNA from 1 species